UAAUACGGAGGGUGCAAGCGUUAAUCGGAAUUACUGGGCGUAAAGCGCACGCAGGCGGUUUGUUAAGUCAGAUGUGAAAUCCCCGGGCUCAACCUGGGAACUGCAUUUGAAACUGGCAAGCUAGAGUCUCGUAGAGGGGGGUAGAAUUCCAGGUGUAGCGGUGAAAUGCGUAGAGAUCUGGAGGAAUACCGGUGGCGAAGGCGGCCCCCUGGACGAAGACUGACGCUCAGGUGCGAAAGCGUGGGGAGCAAACAGGAUUAGAUACCCUGGUAGUCCACGCUGUAAACGAUGUCGAUUUGGAGGUUGUGCCCUUGAGGCGUGGCUUCCGGAGCUAACGCGUUAAAUCGACCGCCUGGGGAGUACGGCCGCAAGACUG
rnacentral:rRNA from 1 species